UUUAAAUUCUUUACAAUAUCAAACUGAAUUUAAAAUUAAAAUAGAAGAUGGAAGAAGUUGGGUCAAGCGGGUUUCUAAGGGAACAAUCAAGAAGCAAUGUAUACGUCAACCGCACAACUUUGUAUGGAUACACCUACUAUUUGAAUUCCUUUGAAUGUGGCCUUUUAAGCUUUAUUUGCUAGUGAUUAAAAUGCCUUGUCGUGAUAGUUGGAAUGCUAUAGUAUUCUUCCCGCUUUUUCUCUAGAAUUCUCCCUCACUCCCCCCCCCCCACCUUUUUUUCCUUUCCUUAAAAUAAAUUUGUGACAGCUAUAUUACUCUCCUCGAUGAUAUAUUACGGUAAGUAUCAAACAAAUGUUUAUUCGAUACUUAACUAUUGUACGUUGUGUUUGCGACAUGGCUAAAGUACUUCCCCUUCGUUUCGAAAGCUGUAGAAAUUUAGAAUUUUCAUGACCUUUCAGUUUUAUCUAUGAUGACCGACUCAUCUUUAUGUUUACAGUAUAUAAUCUACCAUAACCGAGUUCCUAUGGAGACCUUUAGAUAAAAGUUGUCAUCCCUACCCGGUGCACGAAAUAAAAGGUAUAGACAUUGAGCCGAUGCAGAUAGAACAUGACGAAAUAAGAGGCGGUGCCAAUCUAAGCGUUUUACAUGUCCACAGAGAAGGAAAUAACAGCUCUGUCAUCGGCUUUGACAACGAAACCGAGUCCGAAGUUGAAAGAAUUUUUUGGACUUACCUUACAUGUACGAUAGCUAUGACAGCUACCACCACCACGUCGUCAAACUGUAAGCAUCCUGUAUGCGAUGCCCGACUUAACGCCAAGUGCAAUGUUUUUCUGUCGCGAAACGAUUUGAUUAACAAUAGUUAGGUAUGCAUCUAUCUGUUGCAAACAGCUGUUUGUUGUGUGGAGAUUGUAGGCCAUCUAGUGUUGACAAAGUACACUAUAAGUGCUUCAUUGAA